GGGUGGGAAACAAGUGCAUCAUGAGAGUGCUAGGCUGUUCCCCUGGGUGGAGCUGUCUAAUCCUGAUAAAAGGAGUUCCCCUCACAGUGCUGCUAGUUUCGUGAUACUCAGUCAUAGGUCUUCUUUGGAGCCUCUGAUUCCGUGACACCCAGGAAAGAUGUCUCACCACGAGCAUCGCAUCCUCAUCCGCAUCCACAUCCACAGCAGCAUCAGCAUCACCAUCACCAUCAGUGCAAGGAGCCCUGCCAUCCACCUCCAAAAGUGUGCCCACCAAAGUGCCAUGAGCCUUGCCCACCUCAUCCAUGCCCACCUCCAUUGAGCCAGCAGAAAUGCCCUCCUGUGCCACCAUGCCCACCAUGUGAGCAGAAGUGUCCACCCAAGUGGAAGUAAGCACCAGAUUUCAUCUGGACCAAGAAACAAGAUCCAGGCUCUUCCAUUGUCCUCCCUUCGGCCAUGGUGAUGGAUUACAUCUUCCUUAAUCUCUCUCCUCAACCGACAGCUGACAGAGAAAAGGCUUGCUGCCUGAAGCUGGCACCAUGUUGUUGGAAGAAGAGCAGCAGGACCAUCGCCUGACCUCUCUGUGCCAUGUGCCCAUCUGUUAUCUGCGAUGUGACCUCUACCCCAUGAGCAAUUAGUGUGUCUAUUCCUUUGCUUCUCCAAUAAAGCACAUUCACACUUGAACCCA